AGCGGAGCGCAGCGCAGCGCACCGCUUUGCGCGCUCUUGCGCACUCCGUGGUCAAAGGGUAGAUCUGACGUCAUAACAGCACGUCCUCGAUGCUUCAACACCUCAGCAAGAAACAUCCGCUGCAUACAUGAAGCUCGUCCGUCGCUCCCAACAGAUUAGGGCACUGGGUGAUUAAUUUUGGACAUUGUUGCUGGUCAUCAGUACUUAUCCAUGAAGAGAUUCCAAGGAGUACAAAGUACAGAUAAAACAUAAAAGUGGGAAACUUUGACCUAAUUCAUUUAUUGAAUUUAUUUCAUAUGUGAUUUGUUUCCACAAAUAUUUAUAGUAAAAAGUUUGCAAUGUGGGCCACCAAUUCUUGGGGAAAGAUCGAGCGUGGUUUUGUUUUCAAAAGCACUAGGUACUUUUGCACACCGUACAGUCUCAUUUGGAGGCUGGUUUGGGCCAGCUAAACCAUCAAUGAUUACAUUGCUGACAGCAUUUGUUAAAGAAGCUUCAUUAUUAGAGACUGAAGGCAUUGCCUGGCAGGACAGAAAAGGAUAAAGUCAUGUUUCCAAAGUGUUUGUGCUGAUUUCUAGCUCUGAUUCUGUGGCUCAUCCAUUGCUUCGCAACACUAAGCAGUUCAAUGGUUUUUAUGGCUGUGAUUUUUGUUUGCACAGAGGUGGUAGAUCCAUACGAACAACCUGAACCCCUACUUAGAAAUGAGAGGGAUCAUUUCAGUCAUGCAAUGUCAGGAACAACUAAUGAACCAGUGUAUGGAGUCAAAGGGCCAUCUCCUUUAAUGCAACUUCAACACUUCCAAAUGAUAAAUGGCUUCAUUCCUGACUAUCAACACAAUGUGUGUCUGGGAAUCACUCGCUAACUCUCUACACUGUGGUUUGAUUCAACAAACAGAGAUUCCCCCUGGUUCAUAGGUAAAGAGAUUGAUGAAGUUGAUAGGCGACUUGUAAAAAUAAAACCACCUGUUGAGAUUACUAGGACACCAAGGUCACUGACUGAACGGAGGUUCUGGAAACCUUCAGAGUGGCGAGCAUUUCUCCUUUUCUAUUCUCUACCUGUAUUGAAAGGCAUACUGCCUGCAAGAUUUUGGAACCAUUUGUUCCUACUGGUGUUUGGCAUAUAUACAUUAUUGCAGGAUACCAUUAAGACUGAAAGCAUCUUGAUAGCAUCGCUAGCUCUAAAAAAAUGUGUCAUUGUUUUCCAAAGACUGUAUGGGAAGAACAACAUGACUUUUAAUAUUCACUUGCUAACACACAUUGCUCAAAGUGUCAAACAAUGGGGGCCAUUAUGGGCUACAUCAACCUGUUCAUUUGAACCCAAUAUGGGCAGUCUCAAGAAGUAUUUUCAUGGAACACAGUAUGUCCGCUCACAAAUUGUCAGAACAUUUCUGUUGUGGAGAGAAUUGCCAAAAAGAGCUAAGAACACUAUCCAUCCAGAAAAUGAAAAGGUUAAGUCUUUUGUUGAAGAACUUUACUUUAAUAAAAUAAAAAUAGAAAAUUGUAAAAUACUAACUGAAAGUGUCAGAGGUUUUGGUCAUCCCCUGAUACAAAAAUGUAUUAAAAUACCAUAUAGGCUGGCCAUUGCAAAGUUGUGUGGAAAAAAAAACAUGUUCACAUCAACUUUCUGCUUUUUGUUCAUGUGCCAAACUAUGUUGUGUUUUAGUUGAGGUACUUGCUAAAUCAGACAGGCCUGAGUGUAAAGAUUCACAGAUUAGUGUUCAAAGUACUUUCAUAUAUGAGGUUAAACACACUGAAACUGUUAAUGCUGUCUGGCCUGACAUGAUUAAAACAAAAUGUGUUCUUGUUGAAACAGAUGAUGCUAUGUACAUAACACCAUUGCCAAACCCUUAUGAGAGGGACUAGAACUUGAUCAAUAAAGUCAAGUCUGUUUCCCUG